rnacentral:rRNA from 1 species
AUUGAACGCUGGCGGCAGGCCUAACACAUGCAAGUCGAACGAGUGGCGGACGGGUGAGUAAUGUCUGGGAAAAUGCCCGAUGGAGGGGGAUAACUACGGGAAACGGUAGCUAAUACCGCAUACCAUCUGAUGUGCCCAGAUGGGAGUAGCUAGUGUGUGGGGUAACGGCUGACCUAGGCGACGCUCCCUAGCUGGUCUGAGAGGAUGACCAGCCACACUGGAACUGAGACACGGUCCAGACUCCUACGGGAGGCAGCAGUGGGGAAUAUUGCACAAUGGGCGAAAGCCGGAUGCAGCCAUGCCGCGUGUAUGAAGAAGGCCUUCGGGUUGUAAAGUACUUUCAGCGAGGAGGCGUUACUCGCAGAAGAAGCACCGACUAACUCCGUGCCAGCAGCCGCGGUAAUAC